rnacentral:rRNA from 1 species
UACGGAGGGGGCGAGCGUUAUUCGGAAUUAUUGGGCGUAAAGGGCGCGUAGGCGGCAAUUCAAGUCAUCUGUGAAAUCUCCGGGCUUAACCCGGAACGGUCAGGUGAUACUGUUUUGCUAGAGUGCGGAAGGGGCAAUCGGAAUUCUCGGUGUAGCGGUGAAAUGCGUAGAUAUCGAGAGGAACACCAGAGGUGAAGACGGGUUGCUGGGCCGACACUGACACUGAGAGACGAAAGCUAGGGGAGCGAAUGGG